UAAGGUCUAAUACAUUCACGGUCAUGGUUUGCGUAACGUUGACGUCAUGGUUUGCAUAACGAACCCCUUGAAUUAUGAACUCGAUUUUCUACUUUGGGCAGAAGCAUGUGGUGAAGGAACAAGUGUUGGUUAUGUAGUGGGAAGUUAGGGAAAGUCAUCUUUGAGUGAUGCAAACACACUUAUUAGAUAGUUACGAGUGAUGAUUGUUAUCAUGUUAUGUAAUGUAAGGUCAAAGACUUAUCAUGUUAUGUAAUGUAAGGUCAAAGACUUAUCAUGUUAUGUAA
rnacentral:lncRNA from 1 species